rnacentral:lncRNA from 1 species
GUAAGAAGGAAGCAACUUGGAAGUCUGUGAAGAACAGGAUCAUCUCUUGAAGCAGAUUUAUGAUAUUCACCCAAGCAAGAGUAGUGGCACAAUAAUAACCCUUAUGGAGAAGACUGAAGAAGAUGAGACAAGCAAUAUCACCUGGCACCCUUUUUGAAACCUGCUGAAAUAAUGAGGAUCCUGCUGACAUAACGGGGAUCGUGUUUGAUGCACAUCCAUUCUGCAGCACAUCCAGGGGAAGUUAACAUUUAAAUUCAAGAAACACUUAUGUAAAGCAACCAGACAUAUGCCGAAUGCUUCUUGAAUUAUUUAGUAAAAUUCUAAUUAUCUAGAUAGUAUGCAUAAAAUGGACAAUUUGUAUUUAAAAUUUCAAGCUUAUAUCCUUGGCUAUAUAAUUGUACAUGAUUUUCCCCCAGAGCUAGAAAGAGAAUCUUUAAUGUAUGAUAAUUACAUUUGAAGAAGAAUUAAAAAACACAUGUAAUUUAAAUAAAAUCAAUAAAAAGAGCUGUCAAAUAUCUACUUGAGCUCAUUUCAUGGAAAUCUUCUAAAGUUGUGCUCAACAUUUCUUUCUUCUUUUCAGAGUGUAAGCAGAAUAUUUCUCUCACUUUAGAAAGAGGCCCUGAACUUACUAACUAUUCCUCUAGAACCAUGCACCAUUUCUUUGUCCAACCCUGACAAGGCUCAUUGUAUUUCC